rnacentral:rRNA from 1 species
UACAGAGGUCCCGAGCGUUGUUCGGAUUCACUGGGCGUAAAGGGUGCGUAGGCGGGUAAGUAAGUCCGUGGUGAAAUCUCUGAGCUUAACUCAGAAACUGCCGUGGAUACUAUUUGCCUUGAAUAUUGUGGAGGUGAGCGGAAUAUGUCAUGUAGCGGUGAAAUGCUUAGAUAUGACAUAGAACACCAAUUGCGAAGGCAGCUCACUACACAAUCAUUGACGCUGAGGCACGAAAGCGUGGGGAUCAAACAGG